UACCUUUUCCAUUUGAGGUAAUCCUACUGUGACAUGCAUAAAUGGUAACGUUUGUGUGUGAAGCUCACACGACAAUAUCAAGAACUCAAGGAACCUGGCUUUGAUAAUUGG
rfam:Methanosarcina barkeri str. Fusaro, complete genome.